rnacentral:tRNA from 1 species
GGUCUCAUGGUGUAAGGUUAGCACUCUGGACUCUGAAUCCAGUGAUCUGAGUUCAAAUCUCGGUGAGACCU